rnacentral:rRNA from 1 species
GACGAACGCUGGCGGCGUGCUUAACACAUGCAAGUCGAACGGAAAGGCCCUGCUUUUGUGGGGUGCUCGAGUGGCGAACGGGUGAGUAACACGUGAGUAACCUGCCCUUGACUUUGGGAUAACUUCAGGAAACUGGGGCUAAUACCGGCUAGGAGCUCCUGCUGCAUGGUGGGGGUUGGAAAGUUUCGGCGGUUGGGGAUGGACUCGCGGCUUAUCAGCUUGUUGGUGGGGUAGUGGCUUACCAAGGCUUGGACGGGUAGCCGGCCUGAGAGGGUGACCGGCCACAUUGGGACGGAGAUACGGCACAGACUCCUACGGGAGGCAGCAGUGGGGAAUAGUGCACAAUGGGCGGAAGCCUGAUGCAGCAACGCCGCGUGCGGGAUGACGGCCUUCGGGUUGUAAACCGCUUUCGCCUGUGACGAAGCGUGAGUGACGGUAAUGGGUAAAGAAGCACCGGCUAACUACGUG